rnacentral:rRNA from 1 species
CACGUAGGCACCGAGCGUUGUCCGGAUUUAUUGGGCGUAAAGAGCUCGUAGGCGGUUGAGUAAGUCGGGUGUGAAAACUCUGGGCUUAACCCAGAGCCGCCACUCGAUACUGCUCUGACUUGAGUUCGGUAGGGGAGCAGGGAAUUCCUAGUGUAGCGGUGAAAUGCGCAGAUAUUAGGAGGAACACCGGUGGCGAAGGCGCUGCUCUGGGCCGAUACUGACGCUGAGGAGCGAAAGCGUGGGUAGCAAACAGG